rfam:Picoides pubescens contig95757, whole genome shotgun sequence.
UGGCCGAGGAUGAGAACAGCCAUCUGAUUCCUUGCAUACUUUCAGUGAUACGCAAAAAAUCUGAUGGAUUAAAGGAUUUUCUGAGGCCA